GGAAGUGGCUCGCCACCAUUUUGGCAACCAGGAAGGGACCUCCAAAGCGGGAGAAAGCAUUUAUGGUGAGGAGAAAAGCAGCUGGUAUCACACUCUACCCAAGUCCCAAAAGCAGGUUCACAUAACUCCUGUCUUCAUUAUCUGAUAUCCGUAUGAAGAAUGUAAGAUAGAAAAAAACAUUAGCAUUUGAGAGGAUUGAAAGAGAAGCAUUCUCAGCAGAGCCAAGAUUCACUUAGAACAAAAGGACAUUUGAAGUUCUACAAUGAACCCGUCGGAGAUGCAAAGAAAAGGGCCUCCACGGAGUCUGCAGGUGUACCCAACAGCUCCGAAGAGACAGCGACCAUCAAGAACAGGCCAAGAUGACGAUGGCAGUUUUGUCGAAAAGAGAAGGGGGAAAUGUGGGGAAAAGCAAGAGAGAUCAGAUUGUUACUGUGUCUGUGUAGAAAGAAGUAGACAUAGGAGACUCCAUUUUCUUAUGUACUAGGAGAAAUUCUUCUGCCUUGAGAUUCUGUUAAUCUAUGACCUUACCUCCAACCCCGUGCUCUCUGAAACAUGUGCUGUGUCAACUCAGAGUUGAAUGGAUUAAGGGCAGUGCAAGAUGUGCUUUGUUAAACAGAUGCUUGAAGGCAGCAUGCUCCUUAAGAGUCAUCACCAGGACUUUCUUAUAAGCUAAUUAACAAAUUUGUACAUGGUUAACAAUUGUUUACAUUAAAUUCUAUUGGUAAAGUAA
ensembl:lncRNA MIR548XHG MIR548X host gene